CCGAUUCACUCACUCAGAAGGACGAUCCCUGCCGCCCCGUAACGGUCCUUCCAUUGGCGCGGGGCUUUAAAAAGUCUUGAAGAAAGGACGCGCGGGCCACCACGAGGAGGAGGAGGAGGAGGAGGAGGAGGAGGAGGAGGAGGGCACCUGGGCACGCGUCGCACCCUCCUCCUGGUCCUCCUCCAUUCCUUCUUCUCUUUCUCCUCUUCCUCCUCCUCUUCCCUGGUGUCCUUGAGUUUGAAUCGGAGGGAGCGUGAUGCAGCAGCCUUGGCCCAGAUGCUCAGAUCCUCCUGCACGUCUCCCUCAUGCUCCAAGGCGCGCGCCAAGAGGAGGGACGCGAGUAGAAGGCAUGUCAGUAGGUCGUGUGUGAGAAACUAGGCGGGAAAAAGAGAGAGAAAAAAAACUUUCCUGUCAUGGUAAGAAAGAUCCAUCAUGGCCUAUCUUAAGUGGCCCGUUUUCCCUUCGCGGGCCACUCCAUUCUCCCGUCAUCAUCCUCUACCUUUCCUUUCACGAGCGCCUUUCCCUCCCUCUCUCUCUCUGCCUCUCUCUCUCUCCUUGCUUCCUCCCACCUCCCUCCUCCGUCUAUUCUGUAACCCCGCGCCGCCUCAGAAUACCGUCGGGCCACCUUCUAACCGUCAGUCUAUUCAUCCAGGACCUUUAAAUUGUCUUGAAGAAUAGAGAGGUCCCCACGGGGCGCGGCCGGCGAGGGAGGCGCAGUGGCGGGGCGGGGCGGCCACAGCGACACCUCGGGACACCUCCGGGCAAUUUUAUGUAAUGGAUUAGAGAAGGUUUUGGCGGUUUUCUGUUAAUCGUCAAAGUGAGAAUGGCUGGGAAGGAAGUAAGGAGGGAAUGAAGGAAAAAAGGAAGGAGGGAAUGCAGGAAGAAUGGAAGAAGUGUGCUUUUUAGUUAACUGUUUGUCAAAGCGAGAAGGAAGGGUGGAAAGAAGGAAGAAAGGAAGGAACGAUGGAAGGAUGGAAGGAAGGAAGGAUGGCUGAAAGGAAGGAAGGAUAUAGAAACAAAGCAAACUAAGGAGUGAUUGAAACAAUUCAGCUAAUCUUCAAAGGACAGGUUAACGAAAAAGGGAAAAGAAAGGAAAGCAAACACGAAAGGGGGAAACAAAUAAGAAACCAGCUCACUCACAAAAUAUGACUCACUGAACCACUGCUACCUCAUCACUCCAUUACUUCGCGAAAACCCACACGGAGACACGGAGACAGAGACACGGAGGCAGCAUACAAGAUCUUGACAUAAUCACGGGCGGGCAGACAUCACGACACGAUUCUGGAACGCACAAGACUUAUACUUGCCUUCAGCGUGAAUAACUUGGGGGUGCGAACCUCGACGGGCGCCUCAUAAACCAAACCGGAGACUUAUUUGAAAAUCCAUCACAUGAACGUCCAACAGGAACCUAGAAGACCAACUGCAACGGCGGAGAAUUAUUGAACUGCCUUCCCGUCGACUCAGACACACGUAGGGGCGACACUCCCAUCAAAGGCUGAGCGGACUCUCCCCCUUGCAGCCCCGUCCUCCCUGGUGGCGCAAGGAUCGCUGCCGCCCAGAAGACAAUAAUAUUAGACAAACGCUGGCCUCCUGGGAGAUGCAAGGAGUCACCGCUGUUUGAAGUCCGCCCCGAGUCACGCCUCCCAUCAGGACGCCCACCAGAAUAUUCCCCGCCGCCCAGACCUCACCCGGAAGUCUGAGAAGUUAUUGGACGGACAAAGAACAACCCGUCACUCAAAGGAUCCCUGACCAAAGAAAAUGGAAUGAAAAACUGGGGAAUCAACACUAAAAUGACCUCAUAAAUUUAACCUUGCUUCCAAGAUCUUACUUGGAAGUCUGAGAAGUUACUGAACGGACAAAUAACAUCUCGAAACUGAAAAGUCCCUACAGAAAGAGAAAUGAAAGAAAAAACAGGGAAUUACCACUAAAAUGACCUCGUAAACCUUGACCUCACCCAUAGGUCAGUCAUUAGACGGUCAAAGAACAUCGUUAGUCAGAGUCCCUAGUCAAGGAAGGAAAGAAAAAACAAAAAAAAAACAUGCGAAUUAACACCAAGAUGACCUCAGAAAUUUGACCUUGGCGAGUCACGUGCCCUUCAUAGGAUCAAGGUGAACAUAAGAACAUAAGAAAUAAGGGAAGCUGCAAGAAGCGACCAGACUUACAGGUGGCAGUCCCUGUAUGAAACACACCUACCUAUUUCCAUCUGCUAUCCCCAUCCAUAAACUUGUCUAAUCUUCUCUUAAAGCUCUCUAGU